AGCGAACGCUGGCGGUAGGCCUAACACAUGCAAGUCGAACGGCAGCACCUUAAUUGCUUGCUCUUAUGGGUGUCGUGUGGUGGACGGCUGGGGAAUACAUCGGAAUCUAUUUUUUCGUGGGGUAUAACUUAGGCUAACUUACGCUAAUUCCUUAUACGACCUACUGGUGAAAGCAGGGUAUCUUCGGACCUUGCGCUCUUGUAUGUGCCGAUGUCGGAUUAGCUAGUUGGCGGGGUAAAGGCCCACCAGGGCGACGAUCCGUAGCUGGUCUGAGAGGAUGAUCAGCGACACUGGAACUGAGACACGGACAAGACUCCUACGGGAGGCAGCAGUGGGGAAUAGUGGAAAAGGGGCGCAAGCCGGAGCCAGACAUACCGAGGGGGUGAAGAAGGCCUUCGGGUUGUAAAGCCAAUCUGUUGGGGAAGAAAAGCAACAGGUUAAUACCCAACGGUGCUGACGGUACCCAAAGAAGAAGCACCGGCUAACUUCGUG
rnacentral:rRNA from 1 species